ensembl:lncRNA
GUGGAGGCUAUAUACAGGGGUACCGGUACAGAGUCAAUGUGGAGGCUAUAUACAGGGGGUACCGGUACAGAGUCAAUGUGGAGGCUAUAUACAGGGGGUACCGGUACAGAGUCAAUGUGGAGGCUAUAUACAGGGGUACCGGUACAGAGUCAAUGUGGAGGCUAUAUACAGGGGGUACCGGUACAGAGUCAAUGUGGAGGCUAUAUACAGGGGGUACCGGUACAGAGUCAAUGUGGAGGCUAUAUACAGGGUGUUAUGGUACAGAGUCAAUGUGGAGGCUAUAUACAGGGGGGUACCAGUACAGAGUCAAUGUGGAGGCUAUAUACAGGGGGUACCAGUACAGAGUCAAUGUGGAGGCUAUAUACAGGGUGUUACGGUACAGAGUCAAUGUGGAGGCUAUAUACAGGGG